rnacentral:lncRNA from 1 species
GUUUCCACAUUUCCCAUUUCCUGUGGCUUACCCAAUAUUUCUGGCCAUGUGCUGUGUGCCUGCCAAAGAGGAAGUGCUUCAGGACCAUUCUCUGAAAUGAAUUAAGAAAAUGCCUUUGUUGCUUGUGAUGAAUCAGAAAGCCACCUGACAAAGACUCCCAAGCCAUGAAUCCCCAAAUACUUACUGCCAGCACUAAAGACACCUGAAAGAGAUGUAAUAGGGUCCAGAAUCCCCCAGUGAAAUUCAACUUGUUUAUUACCAUAGGGCUUUGGCCUACAAAACCUGCCCUUGUCACUUAAGCUGAAUAUGUGAGAAUUAAAGACAUUCUUGCCUCUAGCCUAAGAUUUAG